rnacentral:tRNA from 1 species
AAACUAUUAGUUAAAUACAUAAUAUUAGUUUGUCAAACUAAAGUUACGUUUUGUAUAGUUUA